CUCUGAGGGAUUUCAUUGGGUUACGGUUGCCAGGGAAACCAUUUGACUUGGUAAUCAAUAUGUUCAGUAUGUCUCUGUUGCUGUGUGCUUAAUUCCUACUGAUACCAUUGCAGAGUGGAUCCAUGGAAAACACUGGGUAGGAAAAAAAGAAAACCUUGAAAUAUUAGCUUCAAUGAAGGAAAAUCUGGAUAACUUAUUCUUAUGAAUCUGAAACAAUUUAAGAAAACAAAUGACUGCUUGAUUUUUGUGCCAAUUGAAUAGAAUGGGAUUCAAUUUUUAAUAGCAAGUUGGCAUGGCUAAGUAAGGUCCCUGGGAUUCUCUUGCAAUGCCGUGAAAGCAAAAGGACAGCUCUCCUAACAAGAAGCCAAGAUUGCUACAGGAGGCUGAGGAGAGGAAAAAGCCCUUUUCUCAUCACCAUUGAUUCCUUCAGUCUCCAUGAUUUCCUCUCAAGAACUGCCAUUUGUUGCUGUAGAUGGCCCAGUUGCAGACGUGCCUGAGUUCAGCAUAGUGUUGAGGAGAAUCCCAGAGAUCUGAAUCCCAGGAGAAGUCAGCCCAUCCUGCUGUUCGUGGGAAUCUAUAAAGGAGGUGCACAAAGCUCCAGUUGCCCCUGAUUUGAGAGAUGUCUCCAGAGCAGCACUUGUUCCUGGAAAAGUUUGAGAGCCUGUGUCCAAGACGCUCUCCAACUUACUCACUUGGAAGGACUCCAGCUCUCCAUUUAUUCUUUACUGGCCCUGAGCAGUAGAGUAGGCUAAACAAAAACCCACACUUAAGCUGAAGAUGCUCAACUUAAACACAUGACCACUACUUUCAAGUGCUGCAGAUGCUGCGGGUCCAGGGAUCACACUUUGAGAACCACUAGUCUGGUGCAAGAUUCUUGGCAACAGACAAUAUCUUAUACAAGGGUGCCUGUGCUUCCAGUAGGAGCACAACAGAAGCUGCUGUGGAUGAAAGUGUGUGGGAGUCUUGGGUUGCACCAAGUCCAAGGGAGUCUCUUGCCUGUGGUUCAGGGGACUUCUGAGAAUGCAUCAAACCUUGGCAUCUUUCCAACACAGCACCAUGAACCACCAAGGAAGGAGAUUGAUCUUCAUCAGAUAUGUUAUGGGCUGGGUACCAUCUCAGAGGCUCCCAGGACUCUCCAUAAACUUCUUGAUAAUCCAGACAAGAGCUACUGCUCAAGUAUCAAGUAUUUAUGGGUCUAAAGUAGCUCACUGCAUGACCUAAGUGCAUCUUCCCAGCAGUGAUGUUAGCAUCAGCUCUUCUAAAUUAACAUGGGUAAGGGGUGUGUCUUAGUCCAUUUUGUGUUGCUAUAAAUAAAUAUAUGAGGCUGAGAAUUGUGUAAAGAAAAGUUUACUUGGCUCAUGGUUCUGCAGGCUGUACAAGAAGCAUGGGGCCAGCAUCUGCUUCUGGUGAGGGCUUCAGGAAGCUUCUACUCAUGGCAGAAGGCAAAGCGAGCCAGCAUCACAUGGCAAGAGAGGAAGCAAGAGAGAGGGAGAAGGCACCAGGCUCUUUUUAACAAUCAGAUCUAAUGAGAACUGACAGAGUAAGAACACACUCACCCCUGAGGGAGGGCACUAAUCUAUUCAUGAGGAAUCCAACCCCUCAACCUAAACACCUUCCACUAGGUCCCAUCUUCAGCAUUGAGGAUCAAAUUUUGACAUGAGAUUUGAAGGGAACAAAUAUCCAAACCAUAUUGGAGUGUGAUCCAAAGGCCUUCAAGGAACAGGAGGUUCAGGUCUGAAACAGGGUGUCCAAGGUCCAGCAGAAGGAGAAUGUGCUGAGGUUCUUCGAGCUCACUGCGCUUCAAGUAUCCACCUCAAUGAGAGGUUUACAUUUCUGGUGCCAUGGCCAGGGCUCUAGUGCUGUCCUAGAUGCCUGUAUUACUCUUGAUAGAAAACAUCCCCAAUAUCCCAAACCUUCUCCAGCCAGUGUCCUUUAAACAAACAAACAGACAACCAAAACAGCCCUUAAAGCAUGAAGCUUCUGCUAAAAAAUUUCAUCAUCAUUAAGACAAGAGCUUGAACAAGAAAGACAAGGAUUUCUAGGCUUAGGCUAUCCUCCUCAUAUUUGCCCUCCACUGGGAUCGACCCUCCCUGACAGGCAAUGAGACUGAAUGACUAGAGGUUCUUUGUAUAAUCUGCAUGUGUCACACCCCUUGUGUUUGCUUGUGGGGCCCUCUACCUUCUAUCCUACCUUCUACCAAUGCUUUAUCCUCCCUGGUUCAUGUCCUACAUAAAACCUUAUGAUAAUGUGUUGCACGUAGUGGGUCUUCAUUAAAUGUUUAUAGAAUGAAGAGAAUUAGGCAAUACCUCUCUUUUCUCUUCAGGUUCACUGCAGUGUCAUUUUGUUGUUUAGUUCAGCCAAUUAAGACUUAAGUUUCUAACUCCUAGACGAUUUUUAUGUAAUGAGGGUUUUUUGGGGGAUUGAGAGGUG
rnacentral:lncRNA from 10 species